GCUGGGCACAGGGGAGCACACCUGUAAUCCCAGCAACUCAGGAGGCUGAGGCAGGAGGAUCACAAGUUUGAGGCCAGCAUCAAUAAUGUAAUGAGAUCCUGUCUCCA
rnacentral:sRNA from 1 species